rnacentral:rRNA from 1 species
CCUACGGGAGGCAGCAGUAAGGAAUCUUCCACAAUGGACGAAAGUCUGAUGGAGCAACGCCGCGUGCAGGAUGAAGGCUUUCGGGUCGUAAACUGCUUUUAUAUGGGAAGAUUAUGACGGUACCAUAUGAAUAAGGACCGGCUAACUACGUGCCAGCAGCCGCGGUAAUACGUAGGGUCCAAGCGAUAUCCGGAAUUACUGGGCGUAAAGCGUGUGUAGGUGGAUUAAUAAGUGUGAUGCGAAAUCCGGCGGCUCAACCGUUUGGACUGUGUCGCAUACUGUUAGUCUAGAGGACGGCAGAGGUAAGUGGAAUUACGGGUGUAGCAGUGAAAUGCGUAGAUAUCCGUAGGAACACCAAUGGCGAAGGCGGCUUACUGGGCCACACCUGACACUGAGACACGAAAGCGUGGGGAGCGAACAGGAUUAGAUACCCUGGUAGUCCACGCCGUAAACGAUGCAUACUAUUAGUAUGGGGUAUCGACCCCCUGUGCUGAGAAGCUAACGCGAUAAGUAUGCCGCCUGGGGAGUACGAGCGCAAGCUUAAAACUCAAAUGAAUUGACGGCGUGAGACGUGCGACGACGACGACGAGGGAGAGG